AUGAACGCUAGCGGCAGGCCUAAUACAUGCAAGACGAACGGAAGUUUUGUAGCAAUAUUGAACCUAGAGUGUCGUAAGGGUGCGUAACACGUAAUGCAAUCUACCCUCAACAGGAGGAUAGUCCCCGAAAGGGGAAUUAACACUCCAUAAGAUCACAGGAUGGCAUCAUUCAGUGAUUAAAACUCCGGUGGUUGAGGAUGAGCAUGCGCAUGAUUAGUUAGUUGGCGGGGUAAUGGCCCACCAAGACGAUGAUCAUUAGGGGAACUGAGAGGUUGAUCCCCCACACUGGCACUGAGAUACGGGCCAGACUCCUACGGGAGGCAGCAGUAGGGAAUAUUGGACAAUGGGUGCGAGCCUGAUCCAGCCAUGCCGCGUGCAGGAAGACGGCCUUCUGGGUUGUAAACUGCUUUUGCCAGGGGAUAAAAAAGACCAUGCGUGGUCAAUUGAAGGUACCUGGUGAAUAAGCCACGGCUAACUACGUG
rnacentral:rRNA from 1 species